rnacentral:lncRNA from 1 species
AUUCAACCCUAAUCGAGCAACUAGUGCGAGUACAAUUACAAAAUUCAAAACAACUAGACUACGCUAUGUACACGUCUCACGCCUCGCUCGUACCCCUGUAAGGAAAACAAAUGGCGUGGAAUGAGCUAAAAGCCCAGUGAGGUUCCAAAUAGCAAAUUGACCAUUAUUUAUAAGUACAAGUUUUCGAUAUAACAAAGUAACGAGCAUGAAGAGUUCAUAAAAGUGAGCAAUAACACUUCAAGUAGCAAUCUCAAAAUGAGCGAGUGUAAAAGUUUUCAGAAUAAACAAUAAUCCAAUAAGCAAUAAGCAUUCCAAAGUAUAAGGAUACGGAGGUCUCUCAGGAGCCAAAUUCCCAUUGCAUCACCAGGAGCUUGAUCACGUAAUAGUUGACACUCCGUCAACUUUCAAGUAAGUAACCAAUCUAGUAGAACACCACUUACACUACUCUCCGUCCACCAUUCAAACCCCCUACUAGGCCCAAAAUCCUCAAUAAACACGGGUGGUAAUACUCGAGUAUACUGAUUAGUCGAGGAGAUAUCACUCCACUCGACAAUCAAGAGACCCAGGGUUCGUUACCCAAUCGACCAAGCCUUUGCCGGCUCGACUUGAGUAACUUGCCGCAGGGUUUCUGGAUUUCCAGGAAGUGCGCACAUCAUAAACAAGUAUAUCAAAUUAAUUUCAACAAUAAACAAGUAUAUCAAAUAAGGGCAAGUGCGAUAAAGUACACUCUUGCCCGAUCAAACCAAUCAUAUAUCAUUUAAUCAUAUUGAUCAAGUAUUGGAAACAAGUGUCCAGUUCAAUCAGAUAUUUGGAAGCACUCACCAAAAUGAAGUGCCCCUAGUAAUCACGUCUGGGUUAUACUCCGUGUUCGGAGUCCAAAUCUGCGAUAAAACUUUGUUUCAGAACUUUAAAAAUUGACUAAGGUUCGAAAUUUAGACGUUUCGUUCAAUAAGAAUCAAGAAAUGGAAAUUCACUUGUAGAAUAUUCGUGAAAGACUCGCUCGCUUUUCAAACUAUAUAACUUUGUAACAUUUAUACUUGGAAAUGCCAUUUGAGUCGAAAGUACAAGGAAAACGUAUUUCUAGUAGUCAUGGUUGUAUUUCUCAAGGGUACAAGUUCGGCCAAAUCCUUACUUAUAUACCUCGGAAAAAGAAGACGCAAAUAUCCUAGAUAGUUCAAGUGGUAAUCACUCUUAACCCUUACUCAAGUUGCAAGUAUAUUUCUCUAGUCCUCGAGCGUAAAUUUGGGCAGCAUGCCCUUUGUAUUUACCUAAUUUUUCGACCAUUUACGGCUUCAUUAGUUUCCUCAGCCAAUCCCAAAGUCAUACACAAUAUAAAUUCAUCACAAUAUCCGUUCAAUAGGCUCAAGGUAAUACAAGUACAAAAAUCAAGCUAAUGACAUGUGCGGAAAUGAAGUUUAAUAAAAGACAGAUUUGACGUGUUUUUGUGGAAUGGACACAUCCGAGGCUACGCUUAUCGGAUUGAGGUGAAACUUAUACCGUUUCGAAGCUAAGACAGAGGGAUACAAUUUUGAUGAAGACCACUCAGUCCAAUUUCCAGUGUAACCCAGUCAAAUUCCCAAUUCACAGAACCAAAUUCCAACUAAUAGACCAGUUAACCGCACUACCUUUAAAUGGCCAUAUCUCAAGCUACCAAAGUCCGUUUAAGGCGUUCUUGGAGGCGUUGAAAAUCUAAGAUAAAUUACUAAAACUUUCAUGUUUUAGAAAAUGGCUAAAUCAGCACGGAUCAUAGUGAAUAGAUACGGUCAAUUGGAUGAACUGUCCAAAACGGAUCACUGGAUGCAUCCUAGGGCAGUGAGGGUAUUUUGGUCUUUUCACUGGCUACGUUGCUCCGAUUGGGCUGAAAUUUUGUAGGAAACCAUAAAAUUUCAUUAUCUACAACUUUUAUUUUUUGUAUUAAGCCUAUUUCGGCCUCUAACAUGAUGAAAUAGAACUGGACAGAACUGAAGCUAAGAUUUCCAGAAAUCUGGAAUUUUUGUUAUUUCAAGCUAUAAUUCAUAUUUUCACCUUGAAACUACCACUACUAUUACCUUUACAAGAUCAUAUACCAGAUAUAUGCAUCAUACAACACCUAACCCACAAGAAACCCUAACUCAAAGGUCAUCCAUCCAAUCAUCAAAACUCUUUGAAACAAGCAUCACAAGCACUAUACUAACAUUAAUACCCAACUUAAUCAUGAUUAAUGGAGAAGAAAUGGUUGAUCAGCCAUCAUACCUCAAGACAAGACCUUGCUAGGAUGAUCCUUCACCUUUCGUUGAUAUUCUUGGUUCUUUAGGCUUCCCAAGCUUCCAACUAGUGAUUGAUCGGUUUAGUUUUUUCUUGGUUGCACUCAAAUGGUGGAAUUCAAGAUAGAAGAUGGAAAACUCUCUUCACUCUCUUGCUCCUCUUGCUCUCGGCCAAAAAUAGAAAGAAAUGAGGGAAAAUGAGCUCAAUUAAGGGAUAAGAAGGCAAGACAAGAGGUUGGUCAAGUAACCAUAGGUGAGUGACACUUGUCACCACCAAAGCCAUCCAAAAUUUUUUUUCUUUCCUUGCAUUUUUGGCCAUAAUUUUCGGCCACAUGGCUGAGGAUGGGGGGGGGGAUAUUUUGCAAAAAUAUCAAGGAUAUGUGGUAGUAAGAAAGUGGUGGUCAAGUGGUGGGUUCAAUCGGUAGUGAUCGAUACCCGUCGGUUCGAGCCGUUUUUUCUUAAAUCACGUAUACUAGGGUUUUUACCUUCUAAUCACUAACUUAUUAUUAUCACUUCAAAUCAUAUAAUAUUUCCUCAUCCAAAAGUCACUCGUACCUACCAAAUUUGAUCCUCACUCCGUACCAAAAAAUCACCCUACGGAAAAACGUGAAAACCCUAACUUGCUCCAACUUGAAAACGAAAAGUGAAAAUCUUUACUUUCAUGUUCAUUUGCACUUAUUGUGGGGUGAUUGGGUGGUCGGGCUAUUAUAAAAUCAUAAUUUCCAAUUAAAAGGGCAUUUUUAAGAAAACGUGAGGGAUUUUACAAUUCCAUAAAUUGAAUUUAGGGUUUCGGUUGAAAUAUGAGAAAUUUGAGAAAACGGUCAGUCACAAAUGAAACUAGGGUUUUGAUUAGACUUUAUUUCUAGAAUUUAGGGUUUCUAGUCUGUAAAACAAAACAAUAAAAUAAAGAAACUGUAAUAUUCUCUUUGAGGCUAAACAACAAUAGUAUCCUAAAAGUUGGGGUAUCACAGUGGUUGAGUAGCAAAUAGUCGAAAAUGACUAGUAAGAGGAGAAGUCACAGGUUUAGCAUCUUUCAUGCCAAACCUCUCCACGACUUUUUCAAGAAAAUUUUUUUGGGUCGAGAAUUACUUUCAAGCUUUUGGAUCUUUCUGAUUUUCAUGCCAAGAAUUUUUUUAGCUGCUUCCAAAUGUUUCAUCUCAAAUUUACUUAACUGGAACUUCAAAGUGUGAAUUUCUGACAAAUUCUUUGUAGUAGUAAGCAUAUCAUCAACAUAAAGAAACAAAUAAAUAAAAGAGUCAUCAUCUAACUUUCGAAAGUAGACACAACUAUCAUAUAUGCUUCUCGAAUAACCACGACCUCACAUAAAAAAAUCAAUAUACCACUGUCUUGGAAACUGAUUCAAUCUAUAUAAGGAUUUUUUUUCAAUAAGCAAUAUGGUUUUCCUUUCCUUCAAUUUCAAAUCCUUGAGGUUGUUUCAUAUAAAUUUAUUUUUCAAGUUCACCAUGUAGGAAGUGGUCUUAACAUCAAGGUGUUCCAACUUCAAAUCGUAUGUAGAAACUAAAGUAAGCACAAUGCAAAUAAACCUAUGCUUAACAAUAGGUAAAAAUGCAUCAUUGACAUCAAAUACCUUAUACUUGACUAUAGUCCUUUGCAACCAACCGUGCUUUACACCUUGCAUCUUCAACUCCUAGAAUACCUUCUUUUGAAAACCUAUUGGCAUCUGACAAUUUUCUUAUCUGAAGGCGGCUUCCCAAAAAUUCAAGUUUUAUAUUGGUGGAGAGACUCAAUUUCAUCAUUCAUCGCAAUCAACCACUUAGCACUCAUCACAAGAAAUUGCUUCAGAAUAGGUAGAAGGCUCACCAACUCCAUUAGUUUCUUUUGCAACAGAAAAAACAUAUGCAACCAAAUCUACAUAUCUUUAUGGUGGUCAAACAUCGCUUCUUCGUCUAUCCUUGGCUAUGAAAUAUUGCUUCUCUUCUCAUAUAUUUUCAACAGUAGGCAUAAGUGCAUCUACUAGCACUUGUUGAAUAGAAAAGCUGAACUAAAAAGGAUCAGAACUGCCAAUUUUAAACUCUACUUUCUUUUGUGUACUAUCAUCUGUACCACAAAAGUAGAAGAAUCCUUCUUGGAAGAUAGCAUAGAGAAUUGAUCAAAAGCAACAUCUUUAUUGUUCAUAAAUUUUGGAGAUUUGGGACAAAGGCACCACAAUCUGUACCUUUUUACCCUAGAAGCAUAUCCAAGGAAAAUACAUCUUUUAGUCCGAUACUCCAAUUUUUCAUCAUUCACAUGCAUGUAAGUUGGACACCCUAAAACUUUUAAAGUAGAGUAAUCAGUAGGAGUACCUGACCAAAUUUUCUCAAAAGUUUUGAAAUCAAGAGUGCCUAAAAGUCCUUUGUCAACUAUGCAUUAGAGAUCAUACACUCUACUCUCUCUAAAAGCGCUUUGUUCAUAUGAUCGGUUACAUCAUUUUGUUGAGGAGUCAUCCUGUUAGUGUGGUGCUGAAGAAUUCUUUCAUUCCUAUAAAAUUCAUCAAAUUUGCCUUCACAAAAUUCCAUGCCAUUAUCCAUUCUAAACCGCUUAAUCUGUUUACCUGUUUGUUUCUCAAUCAAAACUUUCCACUAUUUAAAAAUUACGUAAAUAUCAUUCUUACAUUUAAGAAAAUAAACCUAUGCUUUUCUUCAAUAAUCAUCAAUAAAAUUCAACCUAUAACUAGCACCACCCUUAGACAGAACACAAGUUGAACCCUAUAGAUAUGAAUGAAUGUAAUUAAUAGUACCUUUCAUCUUGUAAAUUGCUGAUAAGCUAAAGUUUACUCUUUUCCACUUUCCAAAGACACAGUGUUCAUAGGAUUCCAAUGGCCUACUACUCUGUCCACAAAGAAGACCGUUUUUGCUUAGUAUGCCCAAACCUUUCUCGCUUAUAUGCCCUAAAUGUAUAUGCCACAAUUUGGUGAUAUUGAAAUCAGAUAAAGAUGAUGACAAGGCUGCAAUUGAGCUUGUGAUAAUAGAUCCCUAUAAAAUAUACAAAGUACCUAACCUUCAACCUUUGAUAACAAGAAGAGCACCUUUAAAAACCUUUAUAAUGCCAUUUUUAACCGUGUAUUUGCACCCAAGAACCUCAAAGGUGCCCAAAAAAAAUGAGAUUUUUUUUUCAAAUUAGAAACAUAUCUAAAAUUACUGAACAUCCUUACAAUACUAUCAUGCAUUUUAAUUUAGACUAUAUCCUUACCAACAACAUCAUAAACGGCAUUAUUACCCUUCAAAAUAAUUCCACCAUUAUUAAGUUAAUAAGUAGAAAACAAAUUUCUAUUGGGAUACAUGUGAUAAGAGCACUCUAAAUCUAAAAUUCAUUUAUUUUUAGAUCUUGUCCUGUUAUCAAUCACAAAGAAAAUAUUUUCAUCACUCUCAUUAGUUAUAACAUGAGUUUCAGCGGUCUCAGUAUUUUUCUCACUAGGUUUUCCCUUUUGCUUUAAUUUAUUUUUCAAUUUAAAGUAAUUUCCUUUAAUGUGCCCCAUUUUUUUACAAUAAUUUCACUUCAAAUUUUAAUGUCUGAAUUUAAAUCUAAAUUUAUACCUACUAUUGUUAGAUUCUAUUUUAUCAAUUCUGGCUCUAGCAACCAAGCCUUCUAUCUAACCCCCAUUAAUUGUUUUAGUGAUAUCCCAUCUAUCUGUUCAUUAGAUUUUAAUACAUAUUUAAUUUUUUAAUACGAAAUUGUUUCUUUUCCAUAAAUUAUAGUAUUGCGAAAAUACUUAAAGAACUAAAGAAGGGAACACGAAAGUAAUAGAGCCUGAUCCUUGUCAUCAAUUUUCGAAUCCAAAAUUUCCAAAUCCAUAAUAAUAAAAUCAAAUUUAUCAAGAUGUUAGAAUAUAGAUGUACAUUUAGUCAUCCGAAACAUAUAUAGACUUUGCUUAAGAUAAAGCUGAUUCUCAACUUUUUCCUUCACAUACAAAGCUUUAAACUUGUCUCACAUGGCCUUAGUUAAAUUCUUUGUGGUUACCUCCCAUAAAAUCUCACCAGAGAGACUUAAGAUAAUAUUGGCCUAGCUUUUUUAUCCAUUUCAGCAAAAUCCGUAUCUUCACAUUCUCUAACUUUUUCUCAACUCCAUGUAUCUCUAAAUCAACUCCAUCUUGUACCCAAAUAGCCUCCAUCUUGAGCUGUCACAUCCUGAAGUUGUUAUUCCUAUUAAAUUUCUUGAUAAUAGUCUUUGAAGAAGUUCCAACACCAAUUUGUUAGAUCUAGUUCUAAGAAAUUGACGAAAAGGUUUUCAGGAACCCUAAAAGACAAAUAGCAAAGUAGAAAUAAAUAAAAUAGAGAUACAAAUUUACGUGGUUCGAUCAAUUGAUCUACAUCCAUGGACGGAGGAAGAGCAAAAUUUCACUAUGAAAAAGAGAGUACAAAAGUCUUAGGAAAGUGUUCUUAGGUCCAAAAACACCAAAUACUAAAAUGCAAGAGAACAAAAUAUUUUACUACAAAAAAAGUUCAAUGAUCCAAAGGUCCAAAUAGCCCACUAAAACUUUCUUUGUUUGUUGCACUUAAUCUCACCAAAAACCAACUCUAUUUGUAGCCAACUAAGGGAAAAAUUCUCUUGUACAAAACCAAUAUGGGAUAAAUGUGAGAACCCAAGAAAAUUAUGCGCAUGCCUUGCAUUUAUUUUAUUUUAUUUACUUUGAUAUUAGAAAUAUCACAUAUAAUGAAUAAUUGGUUAAAUUAAAUGCCUAAUUGAAUUCCUAUAAAAUUUAGAAUUUAGAAAAAUUUUAUGAAUUAAAUAAAUAUAUGGCAUGCAUAUCGUAAAUUAUGUCAUUUGCAAAUAUUACUAGACACGUAACAUAUACUAGAAAUUCAAUAAGUAUACGUCUAAAAAGUUUUUCUUAAAGCUAAAUGUGUCGAAAUUGACUAGAUCAACGUAAGAAAAGUUUCCACGAAAAUACAAAUUAAGUUUGGAGUGAAUGUAUGAAAUAAUAAACUAAAGGACCAAUUUAACCAUUAACGGUUGGACAAUUAACCAUGUAACCAAGAGAGGAAUUGAGCUUCUGGACAACCGAGGAACUUAGGCAUUCAAAUGCUUAAUUACUAGAGCUUUAUAAGCUGCUAAGUCCAAGCGGUGGCUGAAGGAAAAUCAAGAGGAAACAGCCACUAAAACUACUAAGGCUAAGCGGUGGAGAUGAGGAAACAAAAGAGGAGAAAACAAUCUGCUAGUUUGGGGCGGUGAGUGACUCACAUUUGGACAACUGCCGAAAUGAACCUGCUACCAAAAUUGUUGAGUAAGUAGUGACCGAAUGAGGGAAACUUUGGAAUCAUCAUCCACCGACUGAAGAAGCUUUGAGUGAUCAGCCACCGAGAGGAGAAAAUGAUAACCGAACAGCUUUUUCAUUUCUUCAUCUUUUAACCGUCCAAAACUGAGAGCUAAGUGAGUGAUAAGAAAAGAAAACGUGGAAGAUACUUACCUUCUCCAACCAUGAACACCAGCGAAGAAACAAGAGGAAACCAGGCAGCUCCUCACUUUUCUUCUUCCUUCUUCAUUUCAUUCCUUCUAUCUGAAACCAACCGAGAAAGUGGAACUAGAGGUGAGAAGAGGAAUCUGAUUAACUCCAUUAGCUACUAAACAUAAACAAACAAACGAACGCGAGGAACGGGAGAGAUAGCUGGUGCAAUUUUGAGGAACCGAAACUUAACUUGGAGCCGUCUGCACCUGCUGAAUUCUAGAGGAAAGGAGUUCUUGUCCUUAGUUUAGCUACCCGAGGGACAUUAAGAGGAAAAGGAGAGAAAGACCAAAAGAAAGAAACAACAACAGCAACUAGGAACUCAUUUCUGGCCUCCUUCAACCGUGAGAACCAGCCACAAAGAAAGAAGGAAUGCAGUCUAUCGAGCUAAGGAUGGGAGAGUGAAACCAGAAUUUUAUUUUCCUAACUUAGGCCAUAAGACCAGAGGUAAACUAUUGUCUUCCUCUUCCAUUUCUUCUACGUUUAGUUAGUAGUCUUUUAGACUGAGUUGGAACCAAGUAAAAGAAACUUUCUGGAAAACAAAGGUUGUCAAAGCUGGAAAUGUUCGUUUGAAGCUGCUAUGUGAUAUUGAUGAGCUAAUCUGCAAUUUUCCAGCUGUGUCUUCUGCUGCAUGUCUUACAUACAUUUUCUGGCCACAUAUCUUGACAUGCACCCUAUUUACACGGUCGAAUAAGGCCUGUUAAGAUGAAAUCAUGCCGAACUUUUAAAGCCAUACCAAAACUAGAAUCCCAAGACAGCAAAUUUGGAGGAAGAAACGCUGCUACAACUUUGGUCUUGUUAUUUGCAAACUUUGGUAGAUUGUAACUGGAACUCAUGUUUUAGGUCCUGUAUAACAUCUAUAGGUUGAUGCAUGUGAUACUUGAGAGGUUAAAAGCAAGAAAAGAUAGACCUGUGAGCAAUAUCAAGGCUGGAAAUGUUAACUGAUAGGCCACGGUUCCGUGGGGAAUUAGUGACAGCAACCGAAAGAGAAAGGAAGGGAACCGUGGCUGUCCUCUAUAAACCUUAGCUCCUAAACCUGUGUAGUAAGUGUAACCUAUCAUCCAGACCUUAAACCUCAACAAAGACGAGCGAAACCAGUAGAAACUCAAUUUCAUACUAAAGUAGAAAUGAGUGCAGGUUGGGUGGCCGAGGGAG